AGGAAUAUUGGUCAAUGGGCGCAGGCCUGAACCAGCCAAGUAGCGUGAAGGAUGACUGCCCUAUGGGUUGUAAACUUCUUUUAUAAAGGAAUAAAGUCGGGUAUGUAUACCCGUUUGCAUGUACUUUAUGAAUAAGGAUCGGCUAACUCCGUGCCAGCAGCCGCGGUAAUACGGAGGAUCCGAGCGUUAUCCGGAUUUAUUGGGUUUAAAGGGAGCGUAGAUGGAUGUUUAAGUCAGUUGUGAAAGUUUGCGGCUCAACCGUAAAAUUGCAGUUGAUACUGGAUAUCUUGAGUGCAGUUGAGGCAGGCGGAAUUCGUGGUGUAGCGGUGAAAUGCUUAGAUAUCACGAAGAACUCCGAUUGCGAAGGCAGCCUGCUAAGCUGCAACUGACAUUGAGGCUCGAAAGUGUGGGUAUCAAACAGGAUUAGAUACCCUGGUAGUCCACACGGUAAACGAUGAAUACUCGCUGUUUGCGAUAUACAGUAAGCGGCCAAGCGAAAGCAUUAAGUAUUCCACCUGGGGAGUACGCCGGCAACGGUGAAACUCAAAGGAAUUGACGGGGGCCCGCACAAGCGGAGGAACAUGUGGUUUAAUUCGAUGAUACGCGAGGAACCUUACCCGGGCUUAAAUUGCAAAUGAAUUAUGGGGAAACCCAUACGCCGCAAGGCAUUUGUGAAGGUGCUGCAUGGUUGUCGUCAGCUCGUGCCGUGAGGUGUCGGCUUAAGUGCCAUAACGAGCGCAACCCUUAUCUAUAGUUACUAUCAGGUCAUGCUGAGGACUCUAUGGAGACUGCCGUCGUAAGAUGUGAGGAAGGUGGGGAUGACGUCAAAUCAGCACGGCCCUUACGUCCGGGGCUACACACGUGUUACAAUGGGGGGUACAGAAGGCAGCUACCUGGCGACAGGAUGCUAAUCCCCAAAACCUCUCUCAGUUCGGAUUGGAGUCUGCAACCCGACUCCAUGAAGCUGGAUUCGCUAGUAAUCGCGCAUCAGCCACGGCGCGGUGAAUACGUUCCCG
rnacentral:rRNA from 1 species